AAGGGGCAGUAAGGCAUGGGUACCUACCCGGGGGUUCGGGAUAGCCAUCAGAGAUGGUGGGUAAUCCCGGAUGACCUCGUGAGAGCAAAGAUUCAUCGCCCCCGGAGGGGCCCAUGUGAUAUUAGCUAGUUGGUGGGGUAACGGCCCACCAAGGCGAAGAUGUCUAGCGGGUGUGAGAGCACGACCCGCGCCACUCGCACUGAGACACUGGCGAGACACCUACGGGUGGCUGCAGUCGAGGAUCUUCGGCAAUGGGGGCAACCCUGACCGAGCGAUGCCGCGUGCGCGAUGAAGGCCUUCGGGUUGUAAAGCGCUUUAGUGGGGGAGAAAAGCCGAAAGGUGUGAUCUAUCCCAAAAAUAAGCUCGGGCUAAGUUCGUGCCAGCAGCCGCGGUAAGACGAACCGAGCGAACGUUGUUCGGAAUCACUGGGCUUAAAGGGCGCGUAGGCGGGCUAUCAAGUCUGGGGUGAAAUGCCGCGGCUCAACCGUGGAACUGCCUCAGAUACUGACGGCCUCGAGGGAGGUAGGGGCAUGCGGAACUGUAGGUGGAGCGGUGAAAUGCGUUGA
rnacentral:rRNA from 1 species